UGGACCAUUGAUAGAUAAUGACUGUGAUUCUGAGUUAAGGGUGAUGAAUGUCAUGUGUCUGGAUAUCUGAAGCCCAA
rfam:Pteropus alecto contig163913, whole genome shotgun sequence.